CUCCCACGACCCCAGAGGAAAGCGGCCGGGCGGAGACUCGAGUGGGGUCUCAGAACAAAGAUAUUAUACUCUAAUGAGAAGAAUUGAAGAAUGUACUGAUCUUGAGGUUGUUAAGAGUUAGAAAAAAUACUAUGAUGUUGCCUCAUAAGUGGUAAACUAGGGCUCUGAGGAAUGCUUCAGUGUGAUCACUGCAUCUCUAUGGCACCCCUGCAAUUAUGGUUCAGAAUACAAGGGGACACAGGUUCGAGCCCUGGUCCAGGAAGAUCCCA